UACGUAGGGACCAAGCGUUGUUCGGAAUUACUGGGCGUAAAGGGCGCGUAGGCGGCCUGUUAAGUCGAACGUGAAAUCCCCGGGCUCAACCCGGGAACUGCGUCCGAUACUGGCAGGCUUGAAUCCGGGAGAGGGAUGCGGAAUUCCAGGUGUAGCGGUGAAAUGCGUAGAUAUCUGGAGGAACACCGGUGGCGAAGGCGGGUCUCUGGGCCGAUACUGACGCUGAGGAGCGAAAGCGUGGGGAGCGAACAGG
rnacentral:rRNA from 1 species